GCCUGUGCCUUUUCCUCGUAGGACAAAGAGCCGAGGGGCAUCAUCCCACUGGAGAACCUCAGCAUCAGAGAGGUGGAGGACCCACGGAAACCCAACUGCUUUGAGCUUUACAAUCCCAGCCACAAGGGACAGGUCAUCAAAGCCUGCAAGACAGAGGCUGAUGGCCGGGUGGUGGAGGGAAACCACGUGGUGUAUCGCAUCUCUGCACCCAGCCCUGAGGAGAAGGAGGAGUGGAUGAAAUCCAUCAAAGCAAGCAUCAGCAGGGAUCCUUUCUAUGACAUGUUGGCAACGAGGAAAAGGAGGAUUGCCAAUAAGAAGUAGAGCUGCCCUGGCCCAGCAGGUAAACUAAAGACCCAAACCCCACAACAGAUGUGACUGGCAGCUGCCCUAACACGACACGUGGGCUGCACCUCUCGGGUCACAGUGGUCCCCAGAACCAGCUGUGGCCCCACCUGUACACCCUGAAGCCUGUGCUGCGUGUGGCCUGGAUCGUGGUCGGCCGUGUUUCCUCCUGUUGCUGUGUGGCCCAGAGCCUUGGCUCCUGUGAUGCCGCAGCAGCGAAGGAAGAUUCCCGGUGGGCAUCCGUUGAUCUUGCCACGCACACCGGCCCACUCGGGCAGUGGCAGUGACCAUUCUAGAAGUCACUGUUUUAUAUCAAAAUGGGAAUGGAAAAGCUACCACUUUUUUAAUUCAGAAUUUUUCUCAGAUAUAUAGGAUUAUAGCUUUUAUAUGCCUUUUUAUAUCCUGAAAUUAUAAAGACACUUUCUAACAGUAGUAUUUUUAGAAUGGCAGCUAUAAAUAUAACUCCUGGACACAAGUACAUACUGUGCACUGAGAAAAAAGUAUAUGCAGCACCCAAAAGGAGGGCUGUAGGGCACUUGCACUUGGGUGGGAGCUGUAGGAGGAGGCACUAGUGUCCUCUAGGACCGGUACACUUGGGGGGCUCCAGGUAUGAUAAGCCCUGCAACCCCCCUCUCUCUUUUUUGGCCCUACAUAUACUUUCUAAAACCAGUCAUUAUGGUUAUAGUUAUGGUUUGGGGCUGUUAGUCCUAUAACUGCUGAAUCCUAGGACAAGGAGCUCUUUCCAUGGGCAGAU